rnacentral:rRNA from 1 species
ACACCGGCAGCUCAAGUGGUAGCCGCUUUUAUUGGGCCUAAAGCGUCCGUAGCCGGUCUGAUAAGUCUCUGGUGAAAUCCCACAGCUUAACUGUGGGAAUUGCUGGAGAUACUAUCAUGACUCGAGGUCGGGAGAGGCUGGAGGUACUCCCAGGGUAGGGGUGAAAUCCUGUAAUCCUGGGAGGACCACCUGUGGCGAAGGCGUACAGCUGGAACGAACCUGACGGUGAGGGACGAAAGCCAGGGGCGCGAACCGGAUUAGAUACCCGGUGAGUCCUGGCCGUAAACGAUGUGGACUUGGUGUUGGGAUGGCUUCGAGCUGCCCCAGUGCCGAGGGAAGCUGUUAAGUCCACCGCCUGGGAAGUACGGUCGCAAGACUGAAACUUAAAUGAAUUGGCGGGG